UUAAAACACAGGUUCCCAUACAAUCACUGAAGUUAAGUAACAUCAUCCCUAGUCAGUACCUAGAUGGGUGACCACUUGGGAAUACCAGGUGCUGUAA